CAAGGAGAAACACUCAAGAGUUCUAUCUGCACUGUUGCUGUGUUAGGAGUUGAUGAGGCAUUCCAUAUACUGGAUCAGGAAACCGUCCAAAAGUUGAUUGAUGCAUUUGAGAUUGUGGUUGAGACAGAGGCUGCUGCUGCUGAACCGGAUGCUGCCGCCGAACCAGAUGCUGCCGCUGAGGGGGGUGCUACUGGUGAUGAGGGUGCUGCUGCUGCAGCUGAUGAGGGUGCGGCUCCAAUGGAAAUAUGAUGCAAG
rnacentral:lncRNA from 1 species